rnacentral:lncRNA from 1 species
AUAGUCCUAGGUCCAAGAUCUCACUUUUCAUCUGACCAAAAGAUCCAACUGACAAUACCAAAUAAGCUAGACAAUUUUGUCUCCUCAAACUUAAUCCGGUACCAACAGAUCACCAAAUGUUCUUGCAAGUCCAUCACUUGAUGCACAAGUCGCCAAUCGCACCAUGCGAUACCAACCAUCGGUGAUACCCAACACCUGUCUCCACAAGACCCUGUCGCUGUCGUCCUACCAUGGACCCUAGCGAUCGAUGUCCCGAGCAAUACCAAAUGCCUGUCUCAUUGAGACCUAGGCGCCCCUGUCAUCAAAUGACCGGACAAGCAUGCUAACCCAAGGUUUGCACGAUAAGCCAAGUCGCAAACCUUAUUCGCUAUCACAUAUGGUGACAAUCAAAGCCGACAACCAGGCUCAAGUCACUCUACAAUUGUGAUUCCAAAUCUCACGACGACAAACCAAGACUACUAACCGAACAAACUUUUAAACUGUGGGAAGCACAACUAAAGAGCUACGAACACCCAGACUCGAACUAGAGUCAAAACCCUUUUAUCAGUGACGAUAAGUCCACUGUGCAAAGCCUGCCAAGGAAUAACCCAAGUCUCGCUACGUAGUCAAAGAUGACUAUCACUCGAGCUUUUCCCACAAAACAGUCUAGAGAACACAUCGACCCAAUCCAGAAGUCCCAAACAGGGUAAAUGGUAUUUCGUCCCUCUUUCGACAGUAUAUUGUCUGCAGCCAAUAUACUUAUCAAAAGAAAAGCGAAAUAUCCGAAAAUCCACUACCAACAACGAGUUGGAAGUGUGACACGUCGAAGUAUCAAGCCACCUGAUACCUCUUCACUGAACCAGAAGCUCACAACCAAUACUAUCGAAACAUCGACUUUACAAGUCGACAUUCGAAAUUAGAAUGACCCUGGAAUAUCUCGAAUCUAGACGAAACCUAUUACCAACUACAACUAACCCACAACACACCAAUUUAGGUGUUAGAAUAAUCGCAUACGAUGUAUGCCUUAACGAAAACUUGACACCAAUCUGUGUCAAUCUGACCCUAGUAGGAAGAAUGAACGAGGUAAAGGUCGAAAGAUCCGAACCGCUGAUUCCAAUCAGCAAUCAAGGAGGAUAGGUAGGCAUCGCAACCCUACCCAAAGGUCUGCGGAAGCAACACUAACAAUGCAGUCGCUGAAACGACCGCUAUCCAAACCCUGGGCUACACCCUAGUAGCCCCACUGAAGUCGCGACCAUAACUGGUCCAAGCACCGUCUCCGUAGAGACACUCGCAACAGCUCUCGUGUCCUAAGUAGAGAGAGUGGCCUGGGCGUCGGCAAUUAUGACACUCGCCUAGGCCCGAAGAUCACCUAGCCCUUCAAGGCCCACCUGACAGGAGUGGCAACAUCUGGGGAACGUCGCCCUACCACUCGAUGUCCGAAUAAGUACACCGCCACUACUCCCGAUUUAGACACCAGCUUGUGCGAAUCGUAACACAUACAGAAACCAUGCACUUCGAGUUUACCGACUCGAAUGCAAUCCUGGACACAAGUCCAAACCCCGCACUCACGUGCCUAUACACCGUAGGUCUUCCUAAGGAUCAACCUAACCAAUGGUUCAGUUUCUUUGGUUCAGUUCAUUUACUUUUCAAAACAACCUGUGAAUGGUGUUGUGGUUGUAACCUGGCUCUGAUACCACUUUAAUCUGUCACGCCCCGGGGUCCUUUUAUUUGUUCAAAAGCACAGCGGAAAAUUAGCUAUAAAUUUUUUUUUGAAAACCUGACCCCAGAGUGCCAGAUCCGCCACAAACACAGGGAAUCCACUGUUCCCACGGACAGAAUCUCCCCUGUAUUUGCACGGCGUCGCACAAGUACAACAGAGUAUAGAUACACACACAACCACAACCAGAUGAACAAGAGAGAUAACAUUCAUCCAUUCCAUUCACACACACAGAUAUGAUACUUGAGUUAUGAAAACAUUCCACAUCUAUCAGUUAAAAUGUUUCCUACCUGGAAACUGAUUUUGAAAUACUAAAUCCAUAAAAACCACAGAAAAUUUAAUUUGAAAACUGUUCCCCACACGGGAACCAUUCUUUUUCAAAACCAGCUACCACGAGGGGUAGAAAACUGUUUUAUUUCGAGAAAACACCAAUCUUUUAGUUCAUUCCAAAACCCGUUGAAAAUCCAGAUAAUAAAACAGAACUGAACCAUGUAAACCGACUAAGCUAUAUAUAUCAUCAGAAGUAAUAAAGGGUAAUAGCUAAAUCGAAAUAACCUGGGUCGGAAGCUCUAUCGACCGCUACACACGUACCUCACGUCUCGUCCCACUACUCAUCGCCUGCGAUACCUGAAAAAUGGUGGGGGAGGUGAGACGGCGGCCGGAGGAGGUCGGGACGGGGACGAACCGGCGGCGGAGGUCGAGGGUAAGGCGGCGCACCCCUCGGUGGGCGGCGGCGAAACGUGGAAGCCGAGCGGGCCCAACCUCGGCCCGCACAGGUCUGGGCGGCCGCAGGUUGUCCCAGCGGCGGCCGGCGGCGCGCGGGGACGGCGGGGGAACGAGCGCGCCGGGUUGCCGGAGGUUGCCGGGGCCGACAGGAGGGCGGCGCGGCCGAGGGGAGGCGUCGGCGGCUCGGGGAUACCGAGAUCACCCAGGCUCGGCCUGGGUGACGCAGGUGGCCGCAGGGAGCCUGGACGGCGGCCGGCGGCGCGCGGGGACGACGGGGGACGGCGGGGAAGGGCGCCGGAGCUUGGUCUCGGCCUGGGGGAGAUGGUGCUCGGGCUUUGACGUUCCCCCGAGCACAACGAUCGAAGACGCGGCUUGUCCGGGCUAGAGGGGAAUCGAGAGAUGACCGGGGUGCCUUUUUCGGCGGCCGGAGCUGCUCGUCGGCGGCUGGGGCGUGCGCACUGAUUGGGCAGGGAGGAGACGGGGCGGCUAGGGUUAGUCAGGUGAUUAUGGCAGCCAAAAGAAUAAUGGGAAACCCUAGAUGCCCGAUUUAUGCCAAGUGUCACUUUGCGAGGAACCCCUCCAAAGUCUAUUAUUUACAAUCCAGCCCCCUGCCAGCAAGUGAAUUAUGCACACAAGACCCUCCACAUUCGAUAUCACGUGAAAUGACACAUAAAAUAUAGGGUCUUUCCGCGAUUUAUCCGUUUAGCCGCUUUGACCCCUCAGCGAACAUUUGCAAUAUCCGGCAAUCCGUUCAUCGGAUUUCCGAACGGAUCGCACCAUCGCGUUCAGCACAACGAGGGCAUCCAAACUACCAUCUUGUUUCGUCAGAUUUGGUCACGGAUUCGCGACGGAACCCAUCCGCUCUCUAAUUAAUCCGUAUAUCGCACAUAUACCCAAGCAUAAACUCUAAAACCUUUAAUUCAAAUUCAAAUUUGAAUUCCCUACCACCAGUAGGUAUCAGAAACAACUCUCACCUAACCCCAGGUCACAAGCACAGAGCACGCGGAGCUUUAAAACGCACGAAUAGCAAAGAGCGGGAACCCUCUUUUUGAUAAAAUCCCUUUUUCUCGAUAACCGUGCAUCAGAAUCCGAUUCUGUCAGCGCCAAUGGUUCCAGUAUAGUCGAGAGGUUCGAAACGAGCUAUUGGACCACUAUGUUCGGAGGUCUGUACGCGCCAGAGGCCAAGUUUGCUUCGUGGCUUCUCCGGAAAACCGGAGUUACUAUUCACUUAAGUCGAACUUCCGGGUCUCAUAACUUCUCCACUUUAGCUCGGUUUUGCCUGAAAUUUGACGUGUGCUUAUGUAAUUAAAUUACACACAUAAACAUCGUCAACAGAGAGUCUAAUUGCACUGUCAAAAUCUCAGUCCUUACAUUAUCCCCCCCUUAAAAGAAGUUUCGUCCCCGAAACUUAACUACAUACCCACCGAACUCCGACUAUCCAACAACGUCAACCUGCUCACCAAGAGUGAAUACGAAACGUUGUUCUAAAAUCCAAGUCAACGUCACUCACAUCGGAGACCACGAGUAACCACACAAACUACCAAACCUUCAACAAAGGAUAGUCACUUACGACACUCUAUAGUCCUAGGUCCAAGAUCUCACUUUUCAUCUGACCAAAAGAUCCAACUGACAAUACCAAAUAAGCUAGACAAUUUUGUCUCCUCAAACUUAAUCCGGUACCAACAGAUCACCAAAUGUUCUUGCAAGUCCAUCACUUGAUGCACAAGUCGCCAAUCGCACCAUGCGAUACCAACCAUCGGUGAUACCCAACACCUGUCUCCACAAGACCCUGUCGCUGUCGUCCUACCAUGGACCCUAGCGAUCGAUGUCCCGAGCAAUACCAAAUGCCUGUCUCAUUGAGACCUAGGCGCCCCUGUCAUCAAAUGACCGGACAAGCAUGCUAACCCAAGGUUUGCACGAUAAGCCAANGCUUCUCCGGAAAAUCGAGUUACUAUUCACUUUAAGUAAAACUUGGAAAUCGCGUAGAAUUUUCGUUUUAACUCGUUUUCGCCCGAAACUUGACGAGUGCUUUUGUAAUUAAAAUACACAUAAAAACAUCGUCAACUGAGAGUUUAGCUACACUGCAAAAAUCUCAGUCCUUACAGUGAUUAAGAACAUCCCCUGUUGCUAUUGCCUCCCCAAUUCCUUCCGUUCAAACACACACUGACGCACCCAGGCAAGAAAAAGAACAAGUUAAAAAGAAAGUAGAGGGGUACAGAAAAGGAGAAAAAGAGAAGAGGGAGAACUGGAAAAAAAAAAUCAUCAUUUAACAGAAUGUCUAUAAAAGAUAUUGUCACUCGGAAUAUUAUGCUAGCUCACUUCAGUAAAAUACGGGAGAUGGAGAGCGUGCGAGAGGUGUUCAAUAUAAUGCCUGAGAGAAGCGUGAGGUCGUGGACAGCCAUAAUCACCAGGUGCAUUCGGCUUUUCCUUACAAAAAAAAAAAAAUUAUAUAUAUAAAGAAGAGGAUUAAUAAUUUCAUCUAAGAAAAAUACGUUUAUAUUUUCUAUUGUUCUUGAAAAUGAAUGAAAUAUAAGUUUUCGAUCAACACAGAUGUACAUUGCCUGAGUACUAAAGAAAAGUCUACAACAAAACUUGAGCAAACUUUUAAUUAAGCUUCAGUACUAUAUACAUAAAUCAAUUGUGCUUCUGCUUAUUUGACCGUUCUUAACGAUAAAAAAAAAAAAAACUAUUUGUUUAGUACGAGGAUGUACAUUGCCUAAGUAUUAAAGAAUAGUCUACAAUAAAACUUGAGCAAACUUUUAAUUAAGCCUCGGUACUACAUACAUAAAUCAAUUGUGCUUCUCCUUAUUUGACCGUUCUUAACGAUUAAAAAAAACUAUUUGUUUAGUAAGAUGACUAUAAUACUUGCACAAUGAUUCACUCAUUCUUUAGCUUCAAGCAUAAUAAAAAUAUUAUUAUUAUUAUUUCACAUUAAAGUAUAGUGCAUUUCUAACUUCAGAAACUGUUAAGUAUUUAAUGAAAAAGACGAAAGCUGAUAAUAUAUUUUACACUUAAUAUAUUAUCAUGACUAAAGUUAGAAUUAGAAAUAUUUGUUUACUCUACCCUUCUCUUCCUCCAAAGAAGGAGGAUAAUUAAUAAGAAGAGAUUGAGCCUCAUUAAUCUGGAAUCCAAACCGCCACGCAUGUUCGCCGCUGACGCCACCCCUAUCCUGCCGUUGCCGCCGUGCCUGCCGCCGACGCCGCCCAAGCCGUUGCCACCGCCGGCACCGCCCAAGCCACCAGCACCAUUGUCACACAAGAAGUAAGAAAAAAAAAAGGAAAAAGUGAAAAGAAGAUGUAAUACACUGAACUCUUGCAAAUUGCGGAGUUCGAGUGUGCGGGAUGAAGUGUGGAUCUACCCUACAUGUUCUAAAUGACUUGGACAAGUUUUUGAUCAAGUUAGAGAGUGAUUGGAGGGUUAAAAGUGAGAAAGUGCAUUGCUCUGGCAAAAAUCAGGGUUUUCUGCUUGCUGUACCGGUACAGCCAUCACCUUGUACCUGUACAGCAUGGGCAGAUUCGUGGCAGCAAGGCUAUUUUGGUCUUUACACAUUUGAUACCUAUCUAUUUGAUCCCAGCACGACUCUGGGACUUCAGUGGAGUGUGCUAGAGUGUAGAGGAGCUUCCUCCACCUCCUCUCCCUCUCUCUCUCUAGGGUUUUUCUCUCUCUACAUAGAAUUCGUCGUUUUGCGCCGUUUCCGCGCCGCUCUUGUUGUUCGCUGAUUUGGCGACUUAAAGGAGGCUUACAGCACGUGGGAAAGAGGAGUUUUGCUGUAUUUUCUGUGAGUGUACUACCAGGGGAAGCUGAAUCUCAGCCUUAGAGAGGUAAUCAACUCGAUCUCUCUCUAGUUUACGGUUUAGUAUUGAAUUUAGACGCCUUGUUGUUUCCAACUAAGCUAGAAGUUGUUUACUGCAGUAAAGAGAUGUUAUUUUGAUUGUGAAUUACCUACUUUAGCUCAGAGAAACGUUGUUUUAAAGCUGCUGUAGAUAAUUAGUGACUUUUCGAAGCUAUACGCGGAUUAAUAAAGCGAAUUGAUGUAGUUUGGACUUGUUCCUUCGCAGCAGGUUCUCGAACUCCUUGGGGUUAAUUUGGGGAUCAGGGAGACUAGUUCGGAAGGUACUCCAACUAAGGGUAAGCUGGAAUUUCUGUGAGAAAACUGAAUUUACAAGAUUCCGACUAUAUCUAUUAGUAUUUGACGAUCUUGACGCCGUUUUGAUGCUGUUCGCAGCGAGAGGGUAUUUGACCCUUGGACCGCCUUCGAUUGGCAGUGGAGGGCCUUUUGGAAGCCUAAUUUGCGGUAUCAAACUAGCCCUAUAUAGGGAAUUAAAUUGCUACUCUGCUUUACGUGCGAAUUGUACCGGAAUUGGACAUUUCGGUUAUAGUAUUGACUCGACUCUCGUACCUAUUUUUUUUCAGCAGCAUUGGGGCUUCGUUGAGCCGAUUUUGGGACUUCCUUUGGAUUGUUUGGAGCUUAGUAAUAGGUGGGUUUGACCUAACCAGAGCAAGUGAAGCUCCCCUAUGUUCUAUAUGUAUUAUAGAAGUGGCCUAGUUAUAUGCUUAUGUGAUUGUUAAAGGGCUCGGAAGUCGUCAUCAGGACGUUUCUCAUAUGUGAAAUGAGCGUUUAUGCAUAAAAGUACUCAUGCAUUAAAGUAUUCUUGUUUAGUUCAGUAGAACAACCAAGAGAUCAGUUUAUUAUGUUUCUAUGAUAUAGAGAACAUAUAUACAUGAAAGUAUUUAUAUUUAUAUUCAAUUCAGUUGAAUGACUUAUGAACAAGUGAAGGAUGCACUUAGUGAAAAGAUUCUAAUGCCAGGUGUAAAUUAGCAUUACUCUUGCAUGCUUACUAAACUAGUGGAUUCUAGUUGUUGUUAAUAUUUGUUAUAUUGAAAUGCCGAUCGAGGAUCGAGACUGAGAACAUUGCAAAUGACAAUAUGGUAAUUGAGACAUGUGGACAAUGGAAAAUGCUUGCUUGCCAUCGUGCUCAUUCGCACACGCUUGUGAGGGUCGCUCCCUACAAGCCGGCACUCCGGAGUUGGCCUACGCGACAGUUGCUCGCCCGUGCGGGAUUGGGUGCCGAAGUGGACUGCCGUGGGGAGUGCAUAGUACCACGGGGCCAUUAGGCGCGGCGCAAGCUGGACUACCUUGAGUAGAUCCCUGUGAAUGAAAGAAAAGUGCGAAAGGAAGUUGGACAGUAAUGAAUGAUUAUCAGUUACAGUGUACAGUAGUACUUACACAUUUAUGCUUAUGUUCAUACUUAUAGUAGUUGCUAUGCUUCUAUUAUUCAGUUGAUUCAUUACUGUUGAGACUAUGAUUACAUGUUGCUUACAUCACUACAAGAAAAUAGAUCUAUAACGACUAAUAUUUAACGACGGGCGCAAUAAGUGGUCGCUAAAAGCAACCAAAUUAUAAUAAUUUUUUAUAUUGCUAUUUGGUAACCAAUAAUUAGCGACAAAAUAUUUUUUCCGUCGUUAUUAGUAGAUCGAUCCGUCGUUAAUUAAAAGGAUAUUUCGUCAGGUCUAAAAAUUUUAGCGAUGAAAUAUUUUUUUCUUCGUUGUUAAUAAACCGACUAAAAUUUUUAGCAAUAAAAUAUUUUUUUCGCCGUUGUUAAUAGACCGACAAAAAUUUUUCGCGAUGAAAUAUUUUUUUCAUCGUUGUUCAUAGAUGAAUUUGUCAAAAUAUUUUUUGAUGAAAUUCAAUAGCAAAUAUUUGGCGGCGACGUAUUUUUUCCGUCAUUGUUAGUAGUAGGGCUGAAUCUUCCAGCGAUGAAAUAUUUUUUUUUGCCGUUGUUAAUAGGCCGACUUGUUAUAAUUGGCGGGAGAAUGAAAUUUUCAUGGAUAUGCGAUUUUUUUUUUUUUUAGAAUCUAAAAACAAAAGAAUAUAUUGCUAAUUAAUUAACCCACUCUCAACACCCACCCCAUGAACCCCCGCCGACCUGUUGCAUGCCCUAAUUAAUUAAAGUUUCGCUCCCGCUCCCAACAACGCCGCUCGCCCUAAUUAAUUAAUUAACAUUCUUCUCUUCGCCUCGCGCUUCUUCUCCCAACAACGCCGGCCUCACCGCUCACUCGCCGGCCUCAUGCUUGGUGUUGCCGCCGGCCUCAAACCUCCGUCGUGUCGCUGAUCUCGUGCUCGCCGACGUCGCCCCAAAACUCCCCGACAUCGCUGCCGCCGUCGCCCAAACCUCCGACGUGUCGCUGAUUUCGCCAACACCCUCGCCCCGACACUAUUGCCCAAUAUUUGGUUGGCUUCUCUACUACUUCUAUUUUGAUUUUAUUAUUUAAUUUAUUUUUCUGUUUUUUUUUGGACUCUUAAAGAGAAAAGGUAAAGUGCACAGAAAAAAUACAGUUAAAUUGAAAAAUAGUUUUAAAAAGAAUGGAUAGAAUUUAAAGAAGUAUUUUUUAUUAUUAAUUAAGCUUCUUUCUCGAAUAGAAAGAAGAAUGCUAGAAACAUAGGGUCAUGUUGGGGUGGUACUUUUUAUUAAUUUAUUAAAGAACAUUGUCUCUAGUACAUGAAAAUUUAAAUAUAUAUAAGGUAUAGGCUCUACCUAUCACAUGUGUAGUGGGAUAAAUUUUAAAAGAAAAAUAAAAGAAGGUAGAUAAUGUUCACAAGGGACCCAUUGCACUAUUUUUAGUAAAUUAUAUAUAUAUGUAAGUUAUAGCAAUUUUUUUGAGAGACCCAUAUACUAUAUAUCUAAAUAAUUGCACCUUCUGAAGGAAUCCUUACACUGUCCAAUGAAAGAAUCAGAAUGCUUAUCUGAAAAGCCAAAGCUCAUACAACAUCUCAAAGAUUCUGGACCCAUUCCACCUCCAUCAUCUAAUUUACACAAUAUAUGGUCAAGCUAAGAAGUCAGUCAACUAAUGUAGGUCCUUCAAUUAAGUCUGGUUGGUUUAACUUGUUUCAACUAAACCUACUGAUUUGAAGUAAUUGAAAACAGAGAAGCUUGAUUCUUGCAAUUAAAGUAAUUUAAACAUAAUGGACUUGCAUUCUAUUUGAGCUCAAAAUUGUAAAUUCUAAACAACUUACUUGCAUUCCAUUUUUCUUUGUUGCAUUCCAAAACAUUUUUGAUUUCAUUUUAAAGUUUAUCUAGCAAUUAGUAUAUGGCUUUUUUUAUUGUCUCAUCUUUUUUUUAUUAUUAUAAAGCUUUUAUUUUUCUAAAUUGUAAAUGUAUUGUUUACAUUUAUUACAUAAAUCUAUUUUGUUUUUAUCCUCUUCAUCUAAUUGCAUACACUUAUUCAACAACGUUGUUUAGGUAAUCGCGAAGUUAUUUUGUUGUAGUCAUUAAUUGAUAUGAACCAAUGUUUUGUGUAGGGAGGCAAAGAUGGUAAUCCACCAAGCUUAGCGACAAUUUUUUUUGAGACUCGAAAAAAAGGUGGACAACUUGAAGGAGAUAAUACAAACAAGAAAUAUGUAAGUCUUUGCACUGACUUUUAUUAUAAUUGAUUCUAUUUGUACAUUCUUAUAUAACUAAUUUUGUAUAUUAAAUUUUAUUUUGAAGAAUGAAAUUCUUGAAGCCUCACAAUCACAACCGGAACUAUCCAAUAUAGAGCUCAUUGAAAAAUGCUUUGGAACUCAAUGUCGUCAACAUGUUGUUUGCUAUGGGGGUGGUGUGAAGCCGACUGAUUUGAAACCUUCUUACUCUUCUAGAGCUGAACUUAAUGCCAAACUCUGUGAAACUCAGAAGGAAAAUCAAUCACUUAGGAGUCGUAUGGAUGGAAUGGAGGCGGAACUACAAAAAAUUAAGGAAAUGCUCCAGCAACAUCAUAAUAUUUCUCCUCCACCUUCUCCAUCUNACCAAAAAAAAAAAAAAAAAACCACAGGGUACUAAAUUGAUAUUUUUUAAACCACAAGGUAUUAAAAUGUGAAAGUGCAAAACCAAAUGGUUGGUAUUUGAAGUUUAUCCAUAAAUAUAUAUAUUGUGCUUCUCCUAUAAAAUAUAACCUAGCUAAUUUUUUCAGAUCAUUGUUUCUAAACAACUGAUAUAAAUUAUAUUCUCUCCACUGAUGAUAUGGUGUUUUCUCCAGAAACCUAAAAAAGAGAUAAUAUUGUCAACUUCUUUUAGAGAGUGAAACAAUAUUAAAUUUAAACACUUGUGACUAUCAGAAUAAAUGAGUAUUAAUUAAUAACUAGUGUAGUAACCCGCGCGAUGUGGCGGAUAAAUAAUAAAAGAAAAAACAAAAAAUAUUGAAGAGGAAGAAUAAAGGAGUUUGGAAAAUAAAAAUUCAAGUGUAUUUUAUUUUUUUGGGUAGGGAAAUGUGUAAAUUGAACUAACAAAUAUGAUUAUGAAAAUCGACAAUCGCCUAGAAUCACCAUUCAAAAAAAAAAAAAACUACAAAGGUCGUAUGAAGAUGGAGAUGAUAAUGUUGCGAUGAUGACGACGAUGGCGAUGAAAAUCUCAUGGAAGUUUGCAGGAUUUUGCAUCCUUUUGGGCAUGGGAUGGUCAGAAGUUGCAGGCCAGAACUGCCACAUCAAUUAUAAAAUCAAAACUAACAUCUAAAUUAAUCAAAAUAGUAUAUAUAAAUCAAAUCCUUGAUUGUACAACCACCAUAUCAAAAAUAAUGCAAGUAAAUUAAAUUCUAAAUGGAUAUGUAGUAAGAAUUCGAGAUUAAAAUAAAGAAAAGAAAAAUUAGGUUUAGGAUUUUCGUUUCCCAAACCUAUCUCUCGAUCUGUCUAUUAUCGUUGUCCAAUUAGCUUCCUUCAUUGAAAAAAUCGUUCGAUUACUUUUUUUUUCCAUAAAUCCGAAGAGAUCGGUAUAGAUAGAAACCCCAGAAGCAUUCUCUUGAUCCGGGGGGGUUUGGGUCGAGUCAGAUUGGUACUGAUUAGGACUUGGAGGACUCCCUUACUCUUCCCCAUUCUCUAUAUCUGCAAGUAGUAACUAUUUAUCUUCUCUUUAAUUUUGCAUGUUAGAAAUUAUUUAAGGAAGAAGAAAGAACUAAUAUUGAAGAGGACAAACUCAUGAACGUACAAAUAAAUUAAAAAAUACAUUGAUUAUAGGUCAUAUUGAAUAGAGAGAAGGGGAGGGGAAAAGCCAAAAGUAAAGAUUAAUUCAAAAAAAAGAUUGGUGAGGGUGGAGGAAAACUUGCCAUGUGGCAAAAUCAUUGGGAAUUCAUAUAUGUUAUAGAUUAUAGAUAUAGAUUAUAGAUGUUAUAGAUGAUCAUAAAACAAUAUUAUGGCUCUUGUACUUAUAAUUGAAACAAGCUCUCUAGGUUUUAAAAAACUUUGACUAUAUAUCAUAAGUUUAUUAUGCAGCAAAUCUGGAUCGUGAUUAUUUUUUUAAAAUUUUUUGACAGUGAUAAGUUUAAUAAGUUAGGUAUAUUAUUACAUGGUAUUUUAUUUCAUAAAUAAAAUGAUGAAGCAAUCCCCGUCACCGACAAAUUAAUUUAGACAAAUUCAGCAUCUUCGCAAUUAUCAUAAUUUGUAUUGAUUUAAGAGCAUCUUCGCAAUUAUCAUAAUUUGUAUUGAUUUAAGAAACUAAAAUGUAUAAAACUCAUGAUAAUUCUUUUUUUCUACUCAAUGUGAGAAUAGUAUUAUUAAGAUGGUCGAUUUUGUACGCAUAUUUGAUUACCUAGCGUGUGUGAUAAAAAAGGUCGAAUAAAGUUAAGUUAGAUCUUAAUGAAACCAAAAGAGACCCAUACGAAACUAGAUUGAAAGGAUUAGACGAAACUGAAGGAGAACUCGACGCGAGAACAUAAAUAUGACUAAACAAACAGAAAGUAGGAUUGAAACGCUCAAACGAGUGAAGUAUGAAACAAAACUUGGUACCGUGCAAGCGAACUUGGACAACUCUCGAAGCUAAAGCUUUCAGAGAAAAAUGGUCGUCUCAUACAUAAUCGACAGAACCUUACAGUCCGAUUGGGUUAUUCGCUUUUCAAUCUCGUAUAUUUCAUUUUUCUCUAUUGAUAAGUAGAUUGAAUACCAUAGGGGGAUGUUGAUUUCUAAAGAAAACUCAUGAAUAUAUCUUUUCAAAAGGGUCCAUGACAUGUCCUAAUCAAGGAGUUAAUGAAACAACAGUGCUUGGUUUGUCCAUAACCUUAACCAAUUUUUAUUUUUUAAUUUACAAAUCUAUGUAAUCUCAUUAUAUACAUAAUGUCAAGCUUCUCAACCAAAUUUUAUUUUUUAAUUGUUUUAAUUUUUUUAGUUGUUUGUAUCAAAUGAGUAUGAUAGCUAGAAAUAUUGUUUCCAAUUAACGGUCGUCGUCUCGUANAUACAUUUAACGACGGGAUUUGAUCUCGUCGUUAAAUAUUUUUAGUGACGGAAAUUAAAGCCCUUCGUAAUAAGUUUUAGCGAAGGAAGAUUUAACGACGGAUGGCGACGGAAAUUUGUACGGUCAUUAAAAGUUAUUAGCGACCAAUAUGCUAGUUAUAACGACCACUAUUCCCUUCGUUAAAUAUCAUUUUUCUUGUAGUGAUAUAUAAAGUUGUUUAUUUUAACAAAAUCUCCAAUUCAAAUGACCGAAAUAUAUAACUUGAAUUAAAAUAAUUGAGAAUCAAAAGGGAAUGUUGCUUAAAAAAAUUUGAAGUUGAGGAAUCAAUUUUGCAGUUCCACCUCAUUAGCUCUACAAACUUCGCGGAGAUGCUAUAAUUAUGGAGAUUUAAGUACUUUUUUUUGUCGAAUUUGUACUAUAUUUGUACUCAAAGAAACUUUAGUUAACUUCGUACAAAUAUUUAUCUAACUGUUCUAAUAACAUUUUAUGAGACCUGUUAUUUUAACAACGUACCAUUACUGGGAUAUGUACAAGUAUGGAGAUAAGAAAAAUAGCGUUUGGAUGAAAAUUUGACUGUUUCUGGAAUAAGAAAAAUAGCGUUUGUAUAGAUAAUAUGGAAUAAGAAAAAUAAUAGAUAAUUAUAUAUAGAAAAUAUAGGUGUUGGUGGGAAUAGUUAUACCAGCUUAUUUCAGGUAUCCGAAAACUACUAUUUUCGGAUAAAAAAUUUGUGUCUGGGUAAAAAGGCGGGGAUAAGGGGUUAUCCCUCCCCUUAUCCCCGAUACAAACGGUGCCCUAGGUUAGCGCAACAGUUGUUAUAUAUCAGGAAUAACACUUAAGAGGUUGGUGAUGGAUUUGAUCGAUCCCACAUUUGUGUUUUGAAGAUAAGGCUCAAGUCUCUAGCUGGACUUUUGGGUACAUAAUUCGUGUACCCUUGAGCCAUUAUCUUAUUUAUUGGAUAAUUAAUGAUUAAUAUAGCUAUUUGUGUAGUUUUCGGAUUAGGGCUAUCAUUAAUAUGGCUAAUUAAUAUAGAGUAGUUUGUGAUUUCGGAUCGUCUCAAGAUCGCUGCAGCACUAGUAAAGAGAGCUUCUAGGAUACCUCAUUAAUAGUGCUGUAAGAAUUUUAAGACGAUUUAAUGAUUAAAAGGCACAAACAAAAAUGCUCCUGUGUUUUUAAAAGCAUAGGAGCUCAACUCUCUCUCUCUCUCUCUCUCUAUAGAUAGAGAGAGAGAGCAGGGCUGCUGUGCUCUCAGGAGCACGGAGGCCUUCGUGCUUCUGAACCGUUUUCGAUGAUGGAAUUUUCGAAUCGACGAUCGGCUCCGUUAGAUUUGAUCUAGAGUAUUUAAAGUUUCUAGAAAAUAAUUUUUGCGAUUUUUUGGUAUCAUUUACCUAGUAACCGAAAUGAUUCAAAAUCAAUAUUUUUUAAUGGUUGAUAUCUGCCGUUUUCAAGUUUAAAAGUGUAGAAGUAUUCAAAUCAGAUGAAAUUUUGAUACAAAAUUCUUUAUACUAUCUACAAAAAGAUUAAUAUUUUUGAUCGAAAAUUUUAAUGCUAUAUCAUCACUUUUUAUAGGAUUUUUAUUUUUAGCCGUUAAAAAUUAUUGAUUUUGAAUCCUUUCGAUUGCUAGGUAAAUAAUAUCAAAAAAUCGCAAAAAUUAAUUUUUUAAAAACUUCAAAUACGCUAGAUCAAGUCUAGCAAAGCCGAUCGUUGAUUCGAAAAUUCUAUCAUCAGAAACAGUUCAGGAGCACGGAAGCCUCCGUGCUUCCCUGCACCUGAGAGCACAUCAGUCCUGCUCUCUCUCUCUCUCUCUCUCUCUAUAGAUAGAGAGAGAGAGCAGGGCUGCUGUGCUCUCAGGAGCACGGAGGCCUUCGUGCUUCUGAACCGUUUUCGAUGAUGGAAUUUUCGAAUCGACGAUCGGCUCCGUUAGAUUUGAUCUAGAGUAUUUAAAGUUUCUAGAAAAUAAUUUUUGCGAUUUUUUGGUAUCAUUUACCUAGUAACCGAAAUGAUUCAAAAUCAAUAUUUUUUAAUGGUUGAUAUCUGCCGUUUUCAAGUUUAACGGUGUAGAAGUAUUCAAAUCAGAUGAAAUUUUAUACAAAAUUCUUUAUACUAUCUACAAAAAGAUUAAUAUUUUUGAUCGAAAAUUUUAAUGCUAUAUCAUCACUUUUUAUAGGAUUUUUAUUUUUAGCCGUUAAAAAUUAUUGAUUUUGAAUCCUUUCGAUUGCUAGGUAAAUAAUAUCAAAAAAUCGCAAAAAUUAUUUUUUAAAAACUUCAAAUACGCUAGAUCAAGUCUAGCAAAGCCGAUCGUUGAUUCGAAAAUUCUAUCAUCAGAAACAGUUCAGGAGCACGGAAGCCUCCGUGCUUCCCUGCACCUGAGAGCACAUCAGUCCUGCUCUCUCUCUCUCUCUCUCUCUCUAUAUAUAUAAGCUAAAGGAUUCUAGACAAUUUAAUGUUCAUUUUUUAUUCUAUUAGAUGAAGUUUUAGGAAAUAUUCAUGUAAAAUAAUAGUAAAGUUUAUGUAUUAAGUUUAUUUUAUUUAUAUCACAGCUUAGCUGAUGAUUUGGCACUAAUAUUCAGAUGAAUCAGACACAUUUCUUUACUUAGAAAAAAGAGAUCAUGUAAGUGGAAAGAACAAAAAAAACAUUAGUUGGAUUAAAGAUUAGGAAAAGAUGAAGAGCGGUGUAUGUAUGAACAUACACUAAAACUUCAUAUUCACAACUAGUAUUUAAUUAUAUAUUAAUUAUGUAUAAUAAUAUAUAUGGGAGAUUUAAAUACUUUUAACCCAAUAAUUUGUUGGUCCAAUGAUAAUUAGCCAUCUAAAAACUUAGAAAUUGAGGCAAUUAAAGCAUACAAAUCAAAAGCAGGAGGAGAUCGACAUGCCCACAGGAUAAGGAAGAAAAGUUUCCAGGUGGCAAAUGUGAUAAGUGAGUAAGUGACCAUUUGAUAGGGACCCAUGCAUGCAUAUAUAUAUAUAUAUAUAUAUAUAUAUAUAUAUAUAUAUAUAUAUAUAUAUAUAUAUAUAUAUAUAUAUAUAAGAGCGCGGUGUGAGGAGGAAGCUUGAGGAGGAAGAAGGGGGGAAAUGCUGGAGAGGGAGUAUUAAAUGGGGGAAUGGGGAUUAGGGUUAGGGUUUUGGAAUUUGAAAGUUUUGGCGCGAGNAAUAAAGCCCCUGGGCUCACGGGUUGGCAAUCCAACCACUUUUCCGGAAAAGAACACCCUCUUGCGGUGGAUCAGACCGCUGGUGUUCGUGAAAUGCGUACCUGCAGUGGCGAUCAAUGUAGUAUGCUCAAAGAUCAUCCAUCGGCAACUAGCCGACAAUCCAGCCCCUCAGGGCACACCGACCGUAUAGGCCAUCAGCAACUAAUCGGCUACGUAUGUCAAGAUAGAACUGUAGCAACUCGAUCGAAUAGGUCGUAGAUAUCAAAUGGGGAACCGCCCAACCAAAUCACAGAUAUAGAUAGAACAGAUAAGUCAACUCUACUCCUAAACAUGAUAUCAACAUGGAAAUAGCUGAGUAGAGAAAUGCAAAUAUAAAUGCAGGUGCAAGGCUCAAUAUGAUAUCAACAUAGGAGAACCGCCCAACCCAAAUCACAGAUAUAGUGAACAGAUAAGUCAACUCUACUCCUAAGCAUGAUAUCAACAUGGAAAUAACUGAGUAGAGGAAUGCAGAACAGACCAACUAGGUCAACAGAUACGGAAUGCACAGCAGACCAACUAGGUCAACAGAUACGGAUGCGGAUAGAACUACUCUACUCCUACUCAGGAUACUAAGCAUGCAAACAACGAGUAGAGUAUAAUCAAACAACAUGGUGCUAGGCUCAACACUAUAUAUCAAGAUAUAUAUAUGCUAAAUAAUAACGAAAGAGCAAAGGUAAGAAACCAUCACCGAGCGUGCACCACUGUACCAACGUCGGAUCGAAGUACCCACCUGUACAACUGUCGCGCCUGUCUCCUGACUGUAAAAGAAUGUCAACCGGACCUACAGAGGGUCCACCGGGUUAGUAUCUAACCCUCAGCUAAGAAACCCUAAAAGCAAAACCCCACAAAUAAACCCACGGAGAAUCGGUUUCCUGAACCGAUCGUCGUAAUACGCCGGAAGUCCCGAAAACCACACCGGGACGCCGUCGGGACCCACUAAGUGUCCCGAAACUCACCGACUCGUGUCACGAGUCAUCUGCUGCUCCAAAACACUCCAAUUUGGAUGUUUUGGCAGCAAACACAAGAUAACAACACUACACAACUAUCACCGGAUAGUUGUACGAAUCCGGGUUCCCGGAAGUGUCUAUUUCGACACCGGAACCCACCGUCGCUCACCCAUCAUCACCGAACCCACAAUGUAAUGAUGGUGACCAGCCAACAAGGCUCAGCGACUACACAAUAGCUCACGAAGCACCGUCGGAAUAAUUCCGAACCAAAACCGCGUUCCGUCGGCGGAUUUUGCCGACAAACGCACCGGAAAUACAUUUUCGAUCUUCUCAAAGGUCUGGGGCCUUGGAUAAUCAGUCCAGAGGUCACCCACAGCCUACCCAUGCUGCCAACAGCAGCCGCAACAACCAGAAUUGCAUAAAAGCCCUCCCGAUUCCAAGAAAUCACAUUAUUUCAUGUGUUUUUCGGGCUUUUAUUGUCCGUCUACGCAAACCAGAGGUCAAUUAAUCAGACUGUCAUACUCGCCGACAGAUUUCAGCAUGACGGAGGCCGUGCUCACCUUUCGGAGCACUGCCGGCUGCUGCGGUGCGCGUACGAACGGUGCGAAGAUCUGUUAAACUGCGCGCACAGCGCGAAGAUCGCGACUAACUAAAUAACCAGGGCAUCUUUGCCGCUGUCGGAGGUGAGCACGAUGUUCAGCACGAACCCUAGAUCAUCGUGCUCACUUCCCGGGGUGUCGGGGACUCGUCGGAUCACCGGAAAGGUGGCCGGAACGCUAAAUUACUGUGCUGGAAUGUAAAAACAGCCUUACCAGUGCAGUGGGAGCUAGGGAUGGUCGCCGGCGGCCGGGAAGCGGGCGGUCCGGCCGGAGGAGGGAGCACUCGGUCCGGGAGGUCCGGGGAUGGUGAUGGCCGGCGGCGGGCGGCAACCGGUGGCGCGGCGGCAGAGAUCCACGCCACCCACUCUCUCUCGGGUUUGCUCUUCCCGGCGGCGCGGCGGCGGCCGGAGGAGGUCGGGACGGGGACGAACCGGCGGCGGAGGCCGAGGGUAAGGCGGUGCACCCCUCGGUGGGCGGCGGCGAAACGUGGAAGCCGAGCGGGCCCAACCUCGGCCCGCACAGGUCUGGGCGGCCGCAGGUUGUCCCAGCGGCGGCCGGCGGCGCGCGGGGACGACGGGGGACGGCGGGGAAGGGCGCCGGAGCUUGGUCUCGGCCUGGGGGAGAUGGUGCUCGGGCUUUGACGUUCCCCCGAGCACAACGAUCGAAGACGCGGCUUGUCCGGGCUAGAGGGGAAUCGAGAGAUGACCGGGGUGCCUUUUUUCGGCGGCCGGAGCUGCUCGUCGGCGGCCGGGGCGUGCGCACUGAUUGGGCAGGGAGGAGGUGGGGCGGCUAGGGUUAGUCAGGUGAUUAUGGCAGCCAAAAGAAUAAUGGGAAACCCUAGAUGCCCGAUUUAUGCCAAGUGUCACUUUGCGAGGAACCCCUCCAAAGUCUAUUAUUUACAAUCCAGCCCCCUGCCAGCAAGUGAAUUAUGCACACAAGACCCUCCACAUUCGAUAUCACGCGAAAUGACACAUAAAAUAUAGGGUCUUUCCGCGAUUUAUCCGUUUAGCCGCUUUGACCCCUCAACGAACAUUUUGUAACUCCCGGAGAUCCGUUCGUCGGAUUUUUGAUCCGACCGCACCAUUGCAUUCAGCAUGUCGGAUUUUUGUUUCGUCCGAUUUGGUCACGGAUUCACGACGAAACCCAUCCGCUCUCUAAUUAAUCCGUAUAUCGCACAUAUACCCAAGCAUAAACUCUAAAACCUUUAAUUCAAAUUCAAAUUUGAAUUCCCUACCACCAGUAGGUAUCAGAAACAACUCUCACCUAACCCCAGGUCACAAGCACAGAGCAUGCGGAGCUUUAAAACGCACGAAUAGCAAAGAGCGGGAACCCUCUUUUUGAUAAAAUUCCUUUUUCUCGAUAACCGUGCAUCAGAAUCCGAUUCUGUCAGCGCCAAUGGUUCCAGUAUAGUCGAG